GUUUGUAAGAAUCAGCUUGCUAUACUCUAUUCAUAUCUUAUCUUCUUUUUGUCACAUUUGAGUUUUUUUGGAGUACUGAAAAAAUACCGUCUGUUCUCCUUUGCACUUUGCGUUCUCUUCAUUGUAUACUGCACGUGUCUUGUGCAGCAGCUGCUCUGAUAUGUUGGUCGUCAUCAUCACUAGCUAGAGGCUAUCUGGAAUGGAAGAACCUCAGAAAAAAAUGAUGAGGUCAAUGAUAAAAUAAACACCGAGCUCCUCAGGAACCUGACAACGGUGAUUGUGGCAGCACAGGGAAUCUUUACCAAAGCCUUGGAAAAAUGAAGGAAGAUUACUUGUAGACAAAUAAAAAAAAGACAUACUCUUGAAUCCUUAUGUGCCAAACUCCGCGACUUUUUCUUCUCUUGUUGACUGACAAUGAGAUUGCCAGUACUGAACAGCUGCCGCUGGUGCAAGUAAUAUGCUAUAACUGCAACAAAGGUCAUUGAUGGGCAGCUGCCAAACAGUUAUGGAUGUGUGGCUGAUCUGCGAGGCACCGAUCGUCUUUCUUGUACUCUCUUGAUGACUUAUGAAAUACAGCAGCAGCGAUGGAGGUUAUGUGAAAUCCAUGAUUAAAUUCAUGGUGAUUAAUGAUUUAUCUAGAUCCUUAAGUGAUCAAGAGGAUUCAGCGCUGUUGGAGGCUUCUCUGCCUUCAAAGACGGGUUUAACAGAUGCCUUCCUCGCCAAGAAAGAAGCUAACAAUGUAAUUAAAUUGGUUAAUUUUACUGUUAAUUACCGUAUGUUUGAAGAGCAAAAACAAAUUAUCUAUUGUAGAGGAACUGACAACAAUAGGUUAAUACGCUCAAAUCUUAUUCGAACACCUUAUUUUACAAAAGCAGCUAAUCUUUUCUCGUGUCAUGCAAGAAAAUCUAAUUAAACCCAUAUGGAGAUUGAUAGUUGAAAUUAGCAGCUGCAAAACUACUAGUGCCAGUGCCAUAUUGUUCUAGCUUCGUCCAGGAACUGUUGAUGAAAAUUGGGUUUGCUUCAAAUUGUUGUUGUUGAGGAAGUUGAAGUGGAUUUGCACGGGAGCUGUACACAGCAAUCUCAGCCUGAGUCCUGGCAAGCUGAUUCUCUGCCUUCUGGAUCUGGUUAUGUAAUACAGAGAUGAUCCCAACACAGCCGUACACAGGAUCUUCAAUCCUACAUUGUGCCUCAAAAUACAAUGAAUCUACUGCUUGACCUCUUAGAUGACUUGGCAGUUGCUGCAUACAAAACAAAGGAAUUCGCAAAUAAUCGAUCAGUCUCUUCUCAGUUUACGUGGAGGUCCAAAUUCGUGACUUUGUUCCACUUUUGUGAAGCAUCUUUGCAACAUUGCUGGCACCAUAAAUUUUGUGGACAAAAGCAAAUCUUUGAGGAUUAUUUGAAGGAAAA